UACGAAGGGUGCGAGCGUUAUUCGGAAUCAUUGGGCGUAAAGGGUGUGUAGACGGCUUCUUAAGUCAACUGUUAAAUUCUCCGGCCUAACCGGAGGUCAGCAGUCGAAACUGGCGAGCUAGAGGGUGGAAGAGAGAAGUGGAAUUCUCGGAGUAGCGGUAAAAUGCGUAGAUCUCGAGAGGAACACCGAUGGCGAAGGCAGCUUCUUGGUCCACUCCUGACGUUGAGACACGAAAGCGUGGGGAGCAAACAGG
rnacentral:rRNA from 1 species